rnacentral:lncRNA from 1 species
CUUCCUCCACCAGGUGGCCCUGGAGCUUGGUGGCUCUGGCCCUCAAACUUUCCUCCUCCAUGCUCACAGCUGACCAAGCCUGUGGCCCUGCGAUCCUGCUCUGAGGGGGUUCCUGACUUGGACCAUGGGUGGGGCCAAGGACGGCCUGACAUUCUGUCCUUCCCUGCUGAUGGCCCAGUGCCCCACAUUCUCUGCAGAGAUGAAAUCCCACAUCCCUGGGUGAGUGGCGAGGAAAGGACCAGGCUACGUGGUCAUGGGCAGCUGACAGGGUGUGGUUCCCCCUGCCACACUCCCCAAGUCUGUCACUCCUUAAAGGACAGGUUUCUCCACUGGUGAAUGAACAGAAGGUGGAGCAGCCAGCCUCCCGGCCACUGCUGUCUGGGGUCCUGGCCAGAUCAAGGAAGCAGUGUCCCUGUGCCUCCUGGGGGGUAAGCCCACACCUGGGAGGGCCUGUCCACAUUCUGACCCCUCGCUGGGUCUAGAUCUGGCUCCCCUGACUUGGCUCUUCCCUCCCCAUCUACCCUCCAACCUGUUUCUUCCUUCUCCCGCUUCUCCCUUUCUUUCCUGUUUCUCUCCUUUUGCGAUUUCUUCUCCUCUGUCAUCUCCCCAGCCCCUCCUCCUGUUUCUCCUCCAGUUUCACUCCCUGCCAACCCAGGGCUUUCUCCUCUGCACUCUUGUCCCUCCCUCCCCUCCUCACUUCUUGCCCAGUCUCUUGCCAUUUCUGCCCUCCUCUGAACCUCCAGCAGUCUCUUCCACCUGCAGGCAGGGCCAUGGGCCUCUUACCCCGUGAGGCUCGGUGCUGUCUCUGUGGGGCCCUGUCCAUGGGGCAGCUCCCUUGGUGCCGUCCUGGCUGCCCUGGCUGCCCAGGAGGGCAGGGAGCAGGGCCCAGGGGAGGGAGGAGGGCGGAGGGUGGAAGGCGGGAGCACCUGGCCCUCCAGCAGGCAGGGAAAAGGAGUGGCUGGCAGAGUGUCCUGGCACCAGGAGGGGACAUGAGGAGAGACCAGUGGACCAGUGCAUGGAGCCUUGAGGAGAAACAGGACAGGAGAAAGGAAGGGAACUAGCAUUUAUUAAUCACUUACUGUGUGCUGGGCCCUUUGCAGGACACUUUAUGUAAAUCCAUGCUUUUACUUUGUGUAAAUAUUCACAGCACCCACCACAGGGAAACAUUAUUAUUCCAGAUUGAUCAGUGAGUGGAGGGAUUCUCAGAGAUAUUAAUGAUUUUGCCCAAGGACUCACACAAGAACAAUAAAUGGGUGAGCUAUGAUUUGGACCCAAGUCUUUGUGACUUUAGAAUCCUGUGAUUUCUACCUAAGACAGGUGACAGGCAUAGGGGAGAUGGAGAGGGCAGGUUUGGGGGACUGUGUCUCUUCUCUAGGAUGCAGUCAGACUCCUCCCAGUGACUGUUCAGUUCCCUGAGGCCUCUGCCUGCUCGGCCCCUGCCCCUAACCCUUGCUGCUCUUGCCAGGACUCCCUGACCCCCUGAUGCUUCUACGUGCUCCUCAUCUGUUGGGGCAAGGGGCAGGCCUGGAGGAGUGCCUGGAGGCAGAGAAGCCAUGGUGGGGAAGAGGAGAGGAGAGAUGCUGCACUGGACUCAUUGGGAGAAGGAGAGGCUCCCAGACCUAGUGGCCCACACUGAGGCCUGCAGUGAAGGCUCUGAAGGGGGCCAAGAGGACGAGGCUUCUGGGGAUCCUGGUGCUGCUUUUCUCCUGCAUGGCCUGGGCCCAGAGUUUGAUUAGCUGGGCCUGACUCUCCUGGUUACCCAACAAGCAACUGGCCAGGGGCCAGGCUGCAGCAAGAGGCUCCCUGGCACCUCCUCCUGCUCUCGUUCCCAGCUGGUAAACAGCAGAGCAGGAGUCAGCCAUGCCACAGCCUCGUGACUCGCCCACUCCCCCCCACCUGGUGCACGUGGCACCUGGCAUGGAGAGGGCAAGCAGCUGUCCCUUCCCUCUUCUGCCGUCUCGUCUCGCCAUCCUCCACUCCUGCCCAACCCUGGAGCUUCACACUCUGCUACCAUCAGCACCUCUGUUCUUAGGUAGCUCCCAGAGUCUCCCCAUGGCUGCAGAUUGAGAGAUAAAGGUAGAAGUGGAGAAGGACUUUUCAACUCCUAGGGUCAUUGACAGUGGAUGAGUAGUGAGAAAGAGGAGGGGAAGUUUUGGGGACCUUCUGCACUGAGUCUAAGGGUAUGUGCCUAUGCCUCUGAGGCUCUGAUUAUCCCCCGUGUUCUUUUGGUAAAUGUGGGCCCACGCAUCCAUGUAUGCAUCUCUGCACAGAACAGGAUGUUGGUCUGUUUGGGGGCUCUGCACCUUGGGCAGGUUUGGAGUGAGAGGUAAAGUGCUUUGCAGCUCCCUUCCCCCCCGCCCCC